CNUACGGGGAGGCAGCAGUGGGGAAUAUUGGACAAUGGGGGCAANCCUGAUCCAGCCAGCCGCGUGUGUGAAGAAGGCCUUCGGGUUGUAAAGCACUUUCAGUGGGGAGGAAAAGCUGUUGGUUAAUACCCAACGGUCCUGACGUUACCCACAGAAGAAGCACCGGCUAAUUCCGUGCCAGCAGCCGCGGUAAUACGGAGGGUGCGAGCGUUAAUCGGAAUUACUGGGCGUAAAGCGCACGUAGGUGGUUUGUUAAUCUAGCUGUGAAAGGCCCGGGUUCAACCUGGGAAUUCCAGUUGGAACUGGCAGGCUGGAGUGCAGUAGAGGGGUGUGGAAUUUCCUGGGUAGCGGUGAAAUGGGUAGAUAUAGGAAGGAACAUCAGUGGGGAAGGGGACNCCCUGGACUGACACUGACGCUGAGGUGGGAAAGCGUGGGGAGCAACCAGGAUUAGAUACCCUGGUAGUCCACCCCGUAAACGAUGUUUAUUAGCCGUUGGGGGACUUGAUCCUUUAGUGGCGCAGCUAACGCNAANCC
rnacentral:rRNA from 1 species